rnacentral:rRNA from 1 species
ACGUAGGGUGCGAGCGUUAAUCGGAAUUACUGGGCGUAAAGGGUGCGCAGGCGGUUGGCCAAGUCUGAUGUGAAAGCCCCGGGCUUAACCUGGGAAUGGCAUUGGAAACUGGUUGGCUGGAGUCUGGCAGAGGGGGGUGGAAUUCCACGUGUAGCAGUGAAAUGCGUAGAGAUGUGGAGGAACGCCGAUGGCGAAGGCAGCCCCCUGGGCCAAUACUGACGCUCAAGCACGAAAGCGUGGGGAGCAAACAGGAUUAGAUACCCUGGUAGUCCACGCCCUAAACGAUGUCAACUGGGUGUUGGGGAAGCGAUUCCUUGGUACCGUAGCUAACGCGUGAAGUUGACCGCCUGGGGAGUACGGCCGCAAGGUUA